GAGUCAUUUGGUGGGUUGUGAGUGGAAUCCAAUCUCUACAACUAUGCAAUACACCAACCACUCCAUUUUAGAACGAACUUCGUACGAACCUGAAUUGUCCAAUUUCUUGGACCAAUCGAUAUCGGAUUGAGUCCAAAACUUGGGGAACAUCAUAAUAUGGUGGGAGGAGUCAUUUGGUUAGUUUUUAGUGAAAUCCAAUGGCUACAACUACGCAAUACACCAACCACUCCAUUUCAUAA
rnacentral:lncRNA from 1 species